UGUUGUGCGGCCAACUAUGAACAGUAUUGUCAACAUGUUGUUACAGCAUUGUUCAACUGUAACAACUUGGUUCAUAGUUGGCCGCACAAC